GCGACACCUUUCGCUCCGCCCUCCUGGGACGCCCCAGACCCAGUCCACGCACAGGCCAGUGUGGGGUUUGCUUUGCGAAAGGGGGCGGCCCGCCCUUCACGCCAGGUCAAGGGACUCUCUUUGCGUGCCGUUUCCUGCCCUCUCAUCAUGCCUCUCUUAAUAUUCCCCCCGAGGGUCGAUCGCAGGCGGUGCCCGCCGCCGCCUGACCCUCUUCUGUCUGUCCGCCUCUUGAGCGCUCGCGGGGCCGUCCUCCCUGGUGGGACGAAUCGUACUUAAUUCGGCUUCCUCACAGCCGCUUCUUAACGCCCCAACAGUAGCACACAAACACCGCCCCCUAAAUGCAGAGAGAUCGUCGUUGUAGGAAAAACCACACAGGAGCAUCGGGGCACCAGCUUCAGGGGGUAACAGAGAUCGGUAUCAGGUUUCGUCGGCCGGAGGAGAGCCCACUUCCUCUGAGGAAUUUGCACGGUUCCUGUUGCUGCAGAUGUUCACCCCUAUAUACACCGAGGACGAGGAUACAGAAAUUGGUAUUUGCCCCCAAAACGGGGCCAAAAGGAGAUCAAGCAGUGAUGAAGGCACGAUACCGCCUCAGUGAGCCAGCCUGGCCCUUCCUCCCGGCAUAGCUGGAGUUGCCACAUUUUCAGCGGAGACUUCAAAGGAAGGAAUGGAAAAUCCAGCGUUCCUCGCAAUCAAGGGAAACUUCUGUGACCCUGUCGCCAAGCUCAGGAGAAGACAUAUCCUCCCUGAAUGCCUGCUUGGAAGCAGUAAUGGGCUGGAUGAGGGAUAACAAACUGAGACUGAAUCCAGACAAGACGGAGGUUUGUUACCUCUGAAUGUCUGGUUUGCUGAAGGCUUGGCAAUGCCAUGCCAAUACCAGGAGAAAGAAACAUUGAGGGAUAGAUCAGUCCAGAUGACAUUCCUGGAAUAAGAAAUGGGUUAAAAGCUACUGGAUUACUGGCAGUUAUUGCAGGUUCCGACUGAUCAGAAAAUGAACUAGGACCAGAUUUGUCUUCAGAAAGAGUUUCUGUUUUUGCAUCUGGGUCACUCUGUUUCUCUUCAGCAUCCUUUUCUGAAUGAGAUGUACCACUUUUGGUUGUGCUUGCUAAUGAAGUGGGAGCAGUUGACGUACAAGUCGUUGCCAUUGAUGGAUUGAGAAGUCCUCCAACACCAAACAUCUGUGGUACAGCAGCCAUGCCUGGCAGCAUCAUCGGCAACAUACUUAGAGUGCUUUUGACAUCCUCACCAGCAGGCAUUGCUGCAAAUCCAGCAGGAAACCCAACCAGCCCAGUUAAAGGAAUGCCUUGCAUGUUUCUCAUAUUCUGGAGUCCUACUAAAUCCAUUCCAGCAAUAAGUCCAUUCAUGAAUAAUGGUCCAAUUCCAGAAGAAGCAUCUGCUACUAUGCCAGGAGUUUUAAAAAGUUCACUUCUUGGCCUCCUUCCUCUCCGUCGAGGCCCAGCAUCUCGGAGUACAGGUUCAGUGAGAAUACGAUUAAACUUGCUUUCAGGAUCCAUCUCGUUGGCUCUUCGGAACAUUUCCUCUUGUAGCCAAUAGCCAUGGUUACAAGGCCCUAUGAUCUCAGGCCUGGAUGGCAGCUCUUUACGGUUACAGCGCUGGUAAACAGUGACGAGACGCCGCAGCCUUGCUGUGAGGGCAGAUGACACAGGCCAGCUGGAUUUGUCUGGGUCGGAGCCAUCCUGGGCUUCAAACAUCAGCAAGGAGAGCUGGAUGAGGUGGAGGAAGAUGAUGAUGAAGAAUCCAUGGCCCUGGCCCAUGUUUUAGAGUGCUUAGAUGAUUUGCGCUGGUGGAGAGACUUAUCAGUCAUCCCCUGGAACAAAGCCUGCCAUGCUGGUGGGAGUGGAGAGCAGGUACAGUGGUGUUUGGCAGGGAAGGUUGAUUGGGAACAACACGGAUGGGUGGGGAAGAAGGCCCAGGUCUCAUCAUUUCAGAUGCUGAAUUGGGCAUUUUCCCUCCAGACUCCUGUCUUGCCUCCUGGAGCAUAUGGGAAGGAUAACCCAUGUGAGAUGUCCUCAUCUAGCAGCAGAGAAUACGCACUCACUCACAUGGUCUCUAUUAUAAAUAAGUCCCUGCCAAGGUGUUAACUAGGGACGUGCAUGGAACCAGUUCAGAGGCCUUGUAUGGGCCUCCAAACUGGUUCAAAGAUCUGCUGGUUUGACGGCGGGGGGAGGUUGACUUUAAGGGCGGGGGAGGGUGCACUUAUCCCUCCCUCUGCUUUUCCCCCGCUGGUGCUCCGUUAGCAAAGAGUCCAUCGGGGCGGCAGUGUACCUCCUUGCCACCCUCAUAGCCUCAUCGGACUCUACAUCACCGGAAGUACCCGAUGUGCCUCAGCGUGUGCAUUUCACACUCGCAAGUGUGCACGUCGGGCGCGCAAGCACUACGUGCUAAUGCACGUGCCGACACGCACAGGCACGUCGGGUACUUCCAGUGACAUAGGGUCCAACGAAGCAAUGGGGCAGCAUGCUGCCAUCCUAUUGGAAGUUCCCCUGCCCAGUACCAUGCACAUCCCUAAUGGUAACCAACUGAAGUCAAUUGCAGCUGGAAUGUGUUACUUAUAGAGAUAUACCCACCACAUGAAUAAAAGUUAACACUCCUGAAUUCACUACCUGAAUUUCAUGAUUUUUGGACUCUAUGGAGAUUGAUGAUAUUUCUUUCAUCUAGCAAUGCUAAAGCCUUAUGCUUUUUAUCUGUCUGUCUUCUGGUGAUUUAGGCUUCUGUAUAACAAACUCCUGAGUAGUGGCCCUCAAUUUUUUUGUCUCUGAUUGGGACCCACCUGUCAGUUCUAACCCCUGAGCCAAAAGAAAGAGCAAUUUAGUUCAUGUGUCCUUGUUCACAGACUGCACACUUGGGAAUCACUGUGCUAGGAUCAUGACCUGCUUCCAAUCUUCAGCAUUUUCUAUUACUAUGGUUUUAGGGGGUUAACGAUAACAAGGGGCAUUUCAGUCUGAACAGGGAAGCUUGUAGAGCAAGAUUUUUUUUCCUGAAGUGGCCUCAGUACUGUGGAACUGCCUUCCUAAUGCAGCCAAAGAUCUUCAUUUCUUCUUCUUCUUUUAAAAAAAGAAAAAAAAGAAAGCUAUGCACAGCCUUCCCAUUUCUGGAGACUUUGGCUGGGUUGUGAGAGGUUUACUGACUGGGUUUAUUGUAUGUUUUAUAGAAAUUCUAUAAAUAUUUGUAAUCACAUACUGAUAUCUUUCUACUUGUUUUAAGCCACUUUUGAAUUGUUCAAAGAAAAACAGGAUAAAAUAAAAUAAAUCAAUAUGGAAGCCUUAAUUCAGA